GAUGAAGAACGCAGCGAAAUGCGAUAAGUAAUGUGAAUUGCAGAAUUCAGUGAAUCAUCGAAUCUUUGAACGCACCUUGCGCUCUUUGGUAUUCCGAAGAGCAUGCCUGUUUGAGUGUCAUGAAAAUAUCAACCUUGACUUGGGUUUUGUGCUCUAGUCUCGGCUUGGAAUUGGGUGCUUGCCGCUUUUACGAGCGGCUCACCUUAAAUGUAUUAGCUGGAUCUGUCUUUGAGACUUGGUUUGACUUGGCGUAAUAAGUAUUUCGCUAAGGACAUUCUUCGGAGUGGCCUCGUUUCUAGGACGCUUGUCCGCUUUCCAAUACAAGUUCCACCUCGUGGACAUGACUUUUUAUUAUCUGGCCUCAAAUCAGUUAGGACUACCCGCUGAACUUAAGCAUAUCAAUAAGCGGAGGA
rnacentral:misc_RNA from 1 species